GACGAACGCUGGCGGCGUGCUUAACACAUGCCAGUCGAACGGAAAGGCCCUGCUUGCAGGGUACUCGAGUGGCGAACGGGUGAGUAACACGUGGGUGAUCUGCCCUGCACUUCGGGAUAAGCCUGGGAAACUGGGUCUAAUAUCGGAUAGGAGCCAUUUUUAGUGUGAUGGUUGGAAAGUUUUUUCGGUGUAGGAUGAGCUCGCGGCCUAUCAGCUUGUUGGUGGGGUAAUGGCCUACCAAGGCGGCGACGGGUAGCCGGCCUGAGAGGGUGGACGGCCACAUUGGGACUGAGAUACGGCCCAGACUCCUACGGGAGGCAGCAGUGGGGAAUAGUGCACAAUAGGCGCAAGCCUGAUGCAGCGACGCCGCGUGGGGGAUGACGGCCUUCGGGUUGUAAACUCCUUUCGCUAGGGACGAAGCUUUUUGUGACGGUACCUAGAUAAGAAGCACCGGCUAACUACGUG
rnacentral:rRNA from 1 species